rnacentral:rRNA from 1 species
AGGAUAAACGCUGGCGGCGUGCCUAACACAUGCAAGUCGAACGCGCUUGCUAUCCGCGAGGACGGUGAGCGAGUGGCGGACGGGUGAGGAACACGUGGGUGACCUACCUUUCAGUGAGGGAUACCGGCGAGAAAUUGCCGACAAGACCGCAUACGCUUCUCUUUUCAAGGGGAGAAGGAAAGCUUUUCGCAAGAGAGGCGCUGGGAGAUGGGCCUGCGGCCGAUUAGCUAGCUGGUGGGGUAAUGGCCUACCAGGGCGACGAUCGGUAGCUGGUCUGAGAGGACGAUCAGCCACACUGGGAUUGAGAACGGCCCAGACUCCUACGGGGGGCAGCAGUGAGGAAUUUUCGGCAAUGGGGGCAACCCUGACCGAGCAACGCCGCGUGCAGGACGACGGCCUUCGGGUUGUAAACUGCUUUUCUCUGGGACGAGCAAGGACGGUACCAGAGGAAGAAGCCCCGGCUAACUACGUGCCAGCAGCCGCGGU